rnacentral:rRNA from 1 species
UGGGGAAUAUUGGACAAUGGGCGCAAGCCUGAUCCAGCCAUGCCGCGUGUGUGAAGAAGGCCUUUUGGUUGUAAAGCACUUUAAGCGAGGAGGAGGCUACUUGGAUUAAUACUCUAGGAUAGUGGACGUUACUCGCAGAAUAAGCACCGGCUAACUCUGUGCCAGCAGCCGCGGUAAUACAGAGGGUGCGAGCGUUAAUCGGAUUUACGGGGCGUAAAGCGUGCGUAGGCGGCUUCUUAAGUCGGAUGUGAAAUCCCUGAGCUUAACUUAGGAAUUGCAUUCGAUACUGGGAAGCUAGAGUAUGGGAGAGGAUGGUAGAAUUCCAGGUGUAGCGGUGAAAUGCGUAGAGAUCUGGAGGAAUACCGAUGGCGAAGGCAGCCAUCUGGCCUAAUACUGACGCUGAGGUACGAAAGCAUGGGGAGCAAACAGG